UACGUAGGGGGCAAGCGUUGUCCGGAAUUAUUGGGCGUAAAGAGCGUGUAGGCGGUCCGGUAAGUCAGCUGUGAAAGUCAAGGGCUCAACCCUUGAAUGCCGGUUGAUACUGUCGGGCUAGAGUCCGGAAGAGGCGAGUGGAAUUCCCGGUGUAGCGGUGAAAUGCGCAGAUAUCGGGAGGAACACCAAUGGCGAAGGCGACUUUCUGGCCUGUUCUUGACGCUGAGGCGCGAAAGCUAGGGGAGCAAACGGG
rnacentral:rRNA from 1 species